GCAAGUCGAACGAGAAGCUAUCCUUCGGGAUAGUGGAAAGUGGCAGACGGGUGAGUAACGCGUGGGAACGUGCCUUUCGGUUCGGGAUAACUCAGGGAAACUAGGGCUAAUACCGAAUACGCCAUUCGGGGGAAAGAUUUAUCGCCGAAAGAUCGGCCCGCGUCGGAUUAGCUUGUUGGUGAGGUAAAGGCUCACCAAGGCGACGAUCCGUAGCUGGUCUGAGAGGAUGAUC
rnacentral:rRNA from 1 species